GGCGAGUGGCGAACGGGUGAGUAAUGCAUCGGAACGUGCCCAUCGAUGGGGGAUAACUGCGCGAAAGCGUUGCUAAUACCGCAUACGACCUACGGGUGAAAGCAGGGGACCGCAAGGCCUUGCGUCGAUGGAGCGGCCGAUGCCGGAUUAGCUAGUUGGUGAGGUAAAGGCUCACCAAGGCGACGAUCCGUAGCUGGUCUGAGAGGACGACCCAGCCACACUGGGACUGAGACACGGCCCAGACUCCUACGGGAGGCAGCAGUGGGGAAUCUUGGACAAUGGGCGAAAGCCUGAUCCAGCAAUGCCGCGUGUGGGAAGAAGGCCCUCGGGUUGUAAACCACUUUUGGCGGGAAAGAAAUGGUCUGUGCUAAUACCACGGAUUGAUGACGGUACCCGCAGAAUAAGCACCGGCUAACUACGUG
rnacentral:rRNA from 1 species